AUUGAACGCUGCGGCAGGCUUAACACAUGCAAGUCGAGCGAGCGGCGGACGGGUGAGUAAUGCUUAGGAAUCUGCCUAUUAGUGGGGGACAACAUCUCGAAAGGGAUGCUAAUACCGCAUACUAAUAGAUGAUCCUAAGUCGGAUUAGCUUGUUGGUGGGGUAAAGGCCUACCAAGGCGACGAUCUGUAGCGGGUCUGAGAGGAUGAUCCGACACACCGGGACUGAGACAAGGCCCAGAGUCCUACGGGAGGCAGCAGUUGGGGAAGUGUGACAAUGGAGGGAACCCUGAACCAGCAAUGCCGCGUGAGGGAAGAAGAACUUAUGGUUGAAAAGCGCUUUAAGCGAGGAGGCGUUACUCGCAGAAUAAGCACCGGCUAACUCUGUGCCAGCAGCCGCGGUAAUAC
rnacentral:rRNA from 1 species